rnacentral:rRNA from 1 species
GCGCGAAAACUGCACAAUGUGGGAAACCACGAUGCGGGAAACCCAAGUGCCAGCACUAUGUGUUGGCUGUCCUCCAGUGUUCGUAACUGGGGAAGAAAGUGCUGGGUAAGACGGGUGCCAGCCGCCGCGGUAAUACCCGCAGCACAAGUGGUGGUCAUUAUUAUUGGGCCUAAAGCGUCCGUAGCUGGCUUGUUAGAUGCCUGGGUAAAUCGAUGCGCUCAACGCAUCGAAUUCCGGGUAGACCGGCAAGCUCGAGACCGGGAGAGGCGUGAGCUACUCGAGGGGUAGGGGUAAAAUCCUGUAAUCCUUCGGGGAGGACCAGUGGCGAAGGCGUCACGCUAGAACGGCUCUGACAGUGAGGGACGAAGCCCUGGGGCGCAAACCGGAUUAGAUACCCGCGUAGUCC